GACGUAGGGCGCGAGCGUUGUCCGGAUUUAUUGGGCGUAAAGAGCUCGUAGGCGGCUUGUCGCGUCGUUCGUGAAAACCUGCAGCUCAACUGCAGGCUUGCGGUCGAUACGGGCAGGCUGGAGUUCGGUAGGGGAGACUGGAAUUCCUAGUGUAGCGGUGAAAUGCGCAGAUAUCAGGAGGAACACCGGUGGCGAAGGCGGGUCUCUGGGCCGAUACUGACGCUGAGGAGCGAAAGCGUGGGGAGCGAACAGG
rnacentral:rRNA from 1 species